rnacentral:rRNA from 1 species
CACGUGAGUGUAAGCAAAUCUCAAAAAUAACGUCUCAGUUCGGAUUGUAGUCUGCAACUCGACUACAUGAAGCUGGAAUCGCUAGUAAUCGCGAAUCAGAAUGUCGCGGUGAAUACGUUCCCGGGUCUUGUACACACCGCCCGUCACACCAUGGGAGCCGGGAAUGCCCGAAGUCAGUGGCCCAACCGAAAGGGGGGAGCUGCCGAAGGCAGGCCUGGUGACUGGGGUGAAGUCGUAACAAGGUACC